rnacentral:rRNA from 1 species
GACGAACGCUGGCGGCGCGCCUAACACAUGCAAGUCGAACGGAGUCAAGAGGAGCUUGCUUUUCUUGACUUAGUGGCGAACGGGUGAGUAACGCGUGAGUAACCUGCCCUGGAGUGGGGGACAACAGUGGGAAACGACUGCUAAUACCGCAUAAGCUCACGGAUCCGCAUGGGUCUGCGGGAAAAGGGGUUAUUCGCUUCAGUAUGGACGCGCGUCCCAUUAUCUAGUUGGUGGGGUAACGGCCCACCAAGGCGACGAAGGGUACCUGGGCGGAGAGGCUGACCGGCCACAUUGGGACUGAGACACGGCCCAGACUCCUACGGGAGGCAGCAGUGGGGGAUAUUGCACAAUGGGGGAAACCCUGAUGCAGCGACGCCGCGUGGAGGAAGAAGGUUGUCGGAUUGUAAACUCCUGUCGUUAGGGACGAUAAUGACGGUACCUAACAAGAAAGCACCGGCUAACUACGUG